UACGAAGGGUGCAAGCGUUACUCGGAAUUACUGGGCGUAAAGCGUGCGUAGGUGGUUCGUUAAGUCUGUCGUGAAAGCCCCGGGCUCAACCUGGGAAUGGCGAUGAAUACUGGCGGGCUAGAGUGCGGUAGAGGAGAGUGGAAUUCCUGGUGUAGCGGUGAAAUGCGCAGAUAUCAGGAGGAACACCAGCGGCGAAGGCGGCGCUCUGGGCCGGUACUGACGCUGAGGAGCGAAAGCGUGGGUAGCAAACAGG
rnacentral:rRNA from 1 species